rnacentral:rRNA from 1 species
UCUAGGAUGCUGGAAUGCACUUAGUCUGAAAACUCCGGUGCCUAAGGAUGAAUCUGCGGACUAUCAGGUUGUAGUCAGGGUAAUGACCUGACUAGCCUAUGACGGAUAUGGGUUGUGGGAGCAAUAACCCAGAGAUGAUAUCUGAGACACGAUAUCAGGCCCUACGGGGCGCAGCAGGCGCGAAAACUUCGCAAUGUGCGAAAGCACGACGAGGGAAUCCCAAGUGCUUGCACGUAAGUGUAAGCUGUUUCUCUGUUUAAAACGCAGAGAGAGUAAGGGCUGGGUAAGACGGGUGCCAGCCGCCGCGGUAAUACCUGCAGCUCAAGUGGUGGCCGUUAUUAUUGGGCCUAAAACGUCCGUAGCCGGUUUAUUAAAUGCCUGGGUAAAUCGGACCGCUUAACGGUUCGAAUUCCGGGUAGACUGAUAAACUUGAGACCGGGAGAAGUUAGAGGUACUCCUGGGGUAGAGGUGAAAUUCUGUAAUCCUAGGGGGACCACCAGUGGCGAAAGCGUCUAACUAGAACGGGUCUGACGGUGAGGGACGAAGCCCUGGGGCGCAAACGGGAUUAGAUACCCCGGUAGUCCAGGGUGUAAACGCUGCUUGCUUGAUGUUAGUCGGGCUCCGAGCCCGAUUAGUGUCGGAG